CGGUCAUAUUGAGUUGAAACACAAGUUCUCAUCCAAACUCUGAAGUUAAGCAACAUCAAGCUUGGUCAGUGGCAUGGGUGACCGCUAGGGAAUAUCAGGUGCUGCAAG